UCUUAUCGAGAGAGAUUGAGGGACAUGGCCCGUUGACAUCUCAGCAACCUCCAAUUGGAAGGUGCUACGUCCAUGAAGACAAUGUCUUGCAGAUAAG
rnacentral:ncRNA from 1 species